rnacentral:rRNA from 1 species
UACAGAGGGUGCGAGCGUUGUCCGGAAUCACUGGGCGUAAAGGGCUCGUAGGCGGCCAACUAAGUCGGACGUGAAAUCCCCAGGCUCAACCUGGGAACUGCGUCCGAUACUGGAUGGCUUGAAUCCGGGAGAGGGAUGCAGAAUUCCAGGUGUAGCGGUGAAAUGCGUAGAUAUCUGGAGGAACACCGGUGGCGAAGGCGGCAUCCUGGACCGGCAUUGACGCUGAGGAGCGAAAGCCAGGGGAGCAAACGGG